GUAUUGACUCAAGCAGCUGAGCAGCGCGUCUGGGGCUGCAGGCGCUGACUUUCGUUUUUCCUGUGGGUGCUUAAGCCCCAGAGCACCCAUGGAGUCAGUGCCAAUGGGUGGUGCCAACUGCGGUCAAAGCACUGGCGUGUGAGAGAGCCAUUCCUGUGCUCUGGUCGCUCCUAGCCCUGUCUGUGACUCCCUGAGCUUCCACCUCUUCACCUCUCUCUGCCUCAGAGAGUCCCUGGAAAGCGCUCUGAGAUCUACAGCCGGGAGGAGCUGUGUGAAGCAAGCUUCUGACAGCAGAGCUGCUGAGUGGUAAAAAGAUUGUGGCUCUCUAGAUGUUGAGGGAAUGGAACCUCCUUUCUUCUGAGGAUGUCUGAGGUUUUGUGAAGAACACAGGUGUGACAUUAUUGACAUGAACGGUGACCAUAUAGAUCAUUGUUGCAACCACUGUUAUAUAUCUGCAGCAGACAUGUACAAAGGUUGUCGAGUGAGGUGUCUAUGACAAGGUUAUCAUAUAAUCAUAAAAUAUCAGGGUUAGAAGGGACCUCAGGAGGUCAUCUAGUUCAACCCCCUGCUCAAAGCAGGAUCAAUCCCCCCCUAAAUCCCCAAAUGGCCCCCUCAAGGAUUGAACUCACAACCCUGGGUUUAGCAGGCCAAUGCUCAAACCACUGAGCUAUCCCUCCCCCUGGUUAUGAUUAUGCUAUCUGUAUCUGUGUAUUAUUUUUGUAGUUGAAGUUAUGAAUAUUGGCUAUGUAUUUGUAUCUCAAUGUGUUUGAUUCUAAGUAGCAUUAGUGAAGCAUUUGGUCAGCUUCUUGAGAAAGGAAUUUGCAGAUUAAGUGCCCAAUCAAGAAACACUUAACUGACAAUGGCCCUUGGGAGACUCCAAUCCACAUAAGAAGUCUUCCUGGGAACCUUCAAGGUAACAUGUGCAAGGUAACAUGUGAGCAAUGGCUGCUCUCCCUGUAAAAGAACUGAGUCAUGCAUGGACAUGUGACUUGCCCAUGUGACUCCAAACUCCAUCUUGCUGCUGUGAUUUUCCACAGUAAGAACAAAGGAGUGUCCUUCCACAUGGCAGAGGAUAUAAAAGGCUCUGGAAACCCAUCUAUUUGGUCUUCAAUCCUGCUUCUUACCUCUGGAGGAACCUUGCUACAAACUAAAGCUCUGAACAAAGGACUGAAUUCCCAUCCAAGCUGUGGAUGUACUCCAGAGACUUGAUUUGAACCUGCAGUUUAUUCCAUCUCUGCUACAAGCCUGAAUCAAGAACUUUGCUAUUACUGUAGGUAAUUAAUUCCAUUU